GAGGCUCGCAGCAUAUUGGUUGUAGGCUAGGAUUGUGAUUCCUGUUGUCGUGGGUUCGAGUCCCAUCAGCCACCCCA
rnacentral:tRNA from 1 species